rnacentral:rRNA from 1 species
GACGAACGCUGGCGGCGUGCUUAACACAUGCAAGUCGAACGGAAAGGCCCUGCUUUUGUGGGGUGCUCGAGUGGCGAACGGGUGAGUAACACGUGAGUAACCUGCCCUUGACUUUGGGAUAACUUCAGGAAACUGGGGCUAAUACCGGAUAGGAGCUCCUGCUGCAUGGUGGGGGUUGGAAAGUUUCGGCGGUUGGGGAUGGACUCGCGGCUUAUCAGCUUGUUGGUGGGGUAGUGGCUUACCAAGGCUUGGACGGGUAGCCGGCCUGGGAGGGUGACCGGCCACAUUGGGACUGCGAUACGGCCCAGACUCCUACGGGAGGCAGCAGUGGGGAAUAUUGCACAAUGGGCUGAAGCCUGAUGCAGCAACGCCGCGUGCGGGAUGACGGCCUUCGGGUUGUAAACCGCUUUCGCCUGUGACGAAGCGUGAGUGACGGUAAUGGGUAAAGAAGCACCGGCUAACUACGUG